rnacentral:rRNA from 1 species
GACGAACGCUGGCGGCGUGCCUAACACAUGCAAGUCGAACGGAGAUAUGAUUUCGGUUGUAUCUUAGUGGCGAACGGGUGAGUAACGCGUGAGCAACCUGUCCUACAGAGGGGGAUAACAUUUGGAAACAGAUGCUAAUACCGCAUGAGACCACACUGUGACAUCGCAGAGAGGUCAAAGGAGAAAUCCGCUGAAGGAGGGGCUCGCGUCCCAUUAGAUAGAUGGCGGGGUAACGGCCCACCAUGUCGACGAUGGGUAGCCGAGCUGAGAGGCUGAUCGGCCACACUGGAACUGAGACACGGUCCAGACUCCUACGGGAGGCAGCAGUGGGGAAUAUUGGGCAAUGGGCGCAAGCCUGACCCAGCAACGCCGCGUGAGGGAAGAAGGCUUUCGGGUUGUAAACCUCUGUCCUUGGUGACGAAGAAAGUGACGGUAGCCAAGGAGGAAGCCCCGGCUAACUACGUGCCAGCAGCCGCGGUAAUACGUAGGGGGCGAGCGUUGUCCGGAAUUACUGGGCGUAAAGGGUGCGUAGGUGGCCUUUUAAGUUGGAUGUGAAAUACCCGGGCUUAACUUGGGGGGUGCAUCCAAAACUGGGAGGCUAGAGUGCAGGAGAGGGAAGCGGAAUUCCUAGUGUAGCGGUGAAAUGCGUAGAUAUUAGGAGGAACACCAGUGGCGAAGGCGGCUUUCUGGACUGUAACUGACACUGAGGCACGAAAGCGUGGGGAGCAAACA